GUGCCAGCAGCCGCGGUAAUACGGAGGGUGCAAGCGUUGUUCGGAAUUAUUGGGCGUAAAGAGCAUGUAGGCGGUCUGUUUAGUCUGGUGUGAAAUCCCGGGGCUCAACCCCGGAAGUGCGUUGGAUACUGGCAGACUUGAGUAUGGGAGAGGAAAGUGGAAUUCCGAGUGUAGGAGUGAAAUCCGUAGAUAUUCGGAGGAACACCAGUGGCGAACGCGGCUUUCUGGACCAAUACUGACGCUCAGAUGCGAAAGCGUGGGUAGCAAACAGGAUUAGAUACCCUGGUAGUCCACGCCGUAAACGAUGGGUACUAGGUGUUGCGGUGAACCACUCCUGCAGUGCCGCAGCUAACGCAUUAAGUACCCCGCCUGGGGAGUACGGCCGCAAGGCUAAAACUCAAAGGAAUUGACGGGGGCCCGCACAAGCGGUGGAGCAUGUGGUUUAAUUCGAUGCAACGCGAAGAACCUUACCUGGGUUUGACAUCCCGAUCGCACAUGAUGGAAACAUUUUGGUCAGUUCGGCUGGAUCACCUCCCU
rnacentral:rRNA from 1 species